GGAAUAUUGGACAAUGGGCGCAAGCCUGAUCCAGCCAUGCCGCGUGAGUGAUGAAGGCCCUAGGGUUGUAAAGCUCUUUCACCGGUGAAGAUAAUGACGGUAACCGGAGAAGAAGCCCCGGCUAACUUCGUGCCAGCAGCCGCGGUAAUACGAAGGGGGCUAGCGUUGUUCGGAAUUACUGGGCGUAAAGCGCACGUAGGCGGACAUUUAAGUCAGGGGUGAAAUCCCAGAGCUCAACUCUGGAACUGCCUUUGAUACUGGGUGUCUAGAGUAUGGAAGAGGUGAGUGGAAUUCCGAGUGUAGAGGUGAAAUUCGUAGAUAUUCGGAGGAACACCAGUGGCGAAGGCGGCUCACUGGUCCAUUACUGACGCUGAGGUGUGAAAGCGUGGGGAGCAAAC
rnacentral:rRNA from 1 species